UGGAAGUAAAGAUGACCGUCUAUUUGUGGGCAAAAUGCUAGAGCCAGCACAAAAACAUCUGUGUCUGGACUCCUAAUCACCAGGUCACUGCAGGACUUGGAUGCAUAAGCGGCGUGCAGCAGAAUUCGUGUAUCUGCCUCUUCUUGAGUAGUCUCAAGAUGUGGUCCAGCGUUGGAAGAAGUACUCAAGCAAGUUGUUUUUGUUCUCCCCACAUUGCAGGAUUUUUUUCCAUUGCUUGGGUGUUCUCUGCUCGUCACCAUAGAUUUUUAUUUUUUGGUAGCCCUGCUCAGCCCGUCUACUUCGCUCAGCAUUUUUGAUACUUUGGUUGUUAUAUGUGUCACAUACAAAAUGGAGCUCUGUUGACUUCAUCUCUUUUGCUGAGUGAACUAGUGUCCUCAGUACGUGGUCAGCAUAUUGCCCAAAUGUUGGCAAAGGCUUUAGCUGUUGCACAAGAGCCAUAGCAUCCCAAAUGUAGACUGAGCCAUCGGGGCUGUCUUUCACAGUAGUAGGCGGGCCGAUCUCCUCCUGCAAGACAUGCAUCAGCUUGGCUUUAUUGGUUUUUGCCAGGGAGCCGUCGGUGUUUGCGAGAGCCUGUGGAAAAGGACCCAAACAGUAAGUGAGCAUUUCUUCAAUAUUAAUUUGCCUAACACUGCCCACAAUAAUUAAUCUUGCAAACAAGUUGCGGUGAGUUGUCAGGGUGAUUUCUCUUCCUUUGACUUUUGUUGUAGUGCUUUGGCAUGAGUCUUUAAAUGUUUUAAGUUUUAUUUUUUUAAUUGGGUCAUGGUAAGACCUUUCUCCUGUGCUGAUCCGUCUGUCAAAGAAUUCUGUGAGUGCCACUUCACCUCUCUGUUUAGCCUGUAUUAAGUCUGUGGCAAUGUUUUCUGAUGCCAGCUGGCCAGAGGAGACUUGAUAGAGAGUGUCUCCAUCCAGGGAUAGGUCAAAAGGAUUCACCAUGUUUUCAAUAGUGCUCAGAAUGUUUACAACAUCAGUCUGAUCUCUCUGCAUUCUGCUUUGUUCUAGCUCUGAAUUCAGAUGUGCCACUGGUCCCUGCCCUGCCAUGUUUUUGCACUCCACAGUGAUUGCUGCCCUUUCAUGCUGGGUCAAGGUCCAUCGGUGAACUGCACCCUUAUUCAGUGAGAACCCACUAAUGCCUCCCUUUGUCUUAGAAUCUCGAUUGGCUGUCUGUUCAAUUACCUGAUCGCAUGCUGUGCCAGCAAAGCCAUGUGUUUGGUGCCUUUGUGCUACAAAGUCACCUGAAGUUAACUGCUGGUGUGCUGCUGGAUGUGUGUUUUCCAGAUUGUUCAUCUCGGCCCAAUAUGCUGUCAGAUAACGGGAAUAGUUGACUUUAUCACAAGCAAAGAACCAGGGCAGCAUGCAUUGAACAGUAGACAAAUGGAGAGCCCAGUUUCCCUCCCGAGUAGCCCGGAUGAAAAGAAGCAGGGUCUCCAUCAUUUCAAUGUACUGGCUCCAAAAUGCAAAGGUCAGAUUUGAGUGAUUUCUUUCCACAAAUUCAUCAUAGCCUUUCAGUAAAUCCAGGAAUGUUUCAGAGUUAAGUGCCUCAUUGAACUCAAUGGGGAACCGGUCUUGCAGGUCUGUUGCAAUUUCCAUCGCUGCAGAAUUGCCUGUGUAUGGCAAUGUGUCUAAGUAGGCCUGCCAGCGCAGUCUUUGCAAUGCCUCUGUGAAGAGCUUGUGGGCCCGCAUGCUCCUGUUGUAAUGGUGGCCUGUAAUCACCCCAUCAAUAGAGCCUACAGCCACCAGUUCGGACUCAAUUAAGAUGUCCUGAAGGCCUGCGUCUGCAUAGAGCUUCCCAAUGCAGGAAAGAAAUGCCAUGGCCGUAUGGAAUUCUCCCAUCCUUAAAACAAGUCUUUCUGAAUAUAAGCUUGUCUGCCAACGGAUUUCCUGUGCCUUGGCAUAGAUGGCUUGGUCCAUAACCAAUACAAUUUCUGUUUGUUUUAGGCUGUCAGCAAUUGCAAUGGAGCGGCUCAGGAUCGUGUGAACUGUGUUCAGGUCAGUUGGGCUGGCAUCAAUCACAGGUAAGUAGGUCACAUUUGUAAGAGGUAAGACUGCAUCUUCCUUCAACAUAAUAUUAAAACCUGUCCACCCAGGAAGAACUUUACCCUGGGCCUCAGGGACUUUCAUUAAGAAGUAUGCUGCAUCAGUUCUCCGACCAAUUGUUUGGGCACCCCUGUUUUGGUCCUGCUGAAAAUCAAUCUCCAACCCUGAACUAUGAGGACCAGACCGCUUUCCUCUUCUGUAAUAUAGUAGGUUAAGUGGUGGAGGAUUGACUGACCGCUCUCUUGUUCUUUGUCUGGAUGUGUUUGGAACAGGUGCUGCAUCAUUACCCGUGGCUCGCUGAAUUGCGAUACCAUUGGUGUUGUGCGUUGUCCCUUUACCAGACAGGGUCUCUUCUCCAAAAUCAUUGUUGUCCCAGACCAAAGUCACAGGCACUUCAGCACAGAUGGAUUCUGAGAUGUAAGUUUCUCCUUUCUCCAUUUGCAGAUUAGCCAGGGCAGUAUCAUGCUCAAGGACCAGGGAAUUGGAUGAACAGUGGCCAAGACCAUUCAACAUUCCAAUGAGUUGUGCUGAGCCAGACAUAUGUCUAACUGCCAUGGCAAGUGCACAUUGCUUCGGCAUGAGCCAUCGUGCUUUUGUUGCCAAGGUAAUGAUGUCCUGACAGGAAGACAAUAUUUUCCUGCUAUCCUCAAAACUGAACCUAACAUGCUCGUUUGCUGGUUCUGAUGUAAUUCCAGAUGCCCAUGCAAUGAAAUUGAACAGCUGGUGAGGCACUACCUCAAAGGCCCUCUCCAGGGUGAGGUCACUUGCAGUGGGAGGCCAUGGAAGUUUUUCAGACGAUUUGGCAGCGUUUUGGAGGAUCUCUUUGAGGGUUCAUAUCUCCAUCACUAUCCUCAGAUGAGGAUGAAGAGGACAUGGCGACAUCCUGGAGAAUCUCCUCAGGAGAUAUAUUGUCUACAUAAACAAGGUAUGUUUUGGAGGCUUUGUGGAAUUUUAGAAAAGGAUGGGACUUAUGAAGCCUCUGUUUCAACAGGUGAUCCUUAUACGCUCCUAUGUCUUCUCCCUCUGUUUCUUUCACAGUGUCUUUGAAAAGGGUAUUGAGCCUUGCCAAGCGAAACACCUCUCGCCUUUUUAUAAGCCUCUCCUCAAUGACUGUCUCACAAAAUGUUUUGUAGCCAAUUUCAUAGAGCCUGCUCUCUGUAUUCUUUGUUUUUAAGUACAGGUACCUAGUGUAAUCCCUGAAACAAGUGAAGUGGUAACGUGCUUCGCUGGCAACCAAGUCCCUGUCUCUAAUAUGAAGGAGGAGAGCCUCAUCUUUUCUGCCUUCAGCGGCAAGAACCAGUUUCCCAGCAUGCAGUGUUUCACACAACGAAAGUUUCUCCUUUAACCUUUUCUUGCUGUGUUUUUCCUGCUUGUAUUUGUUACUUCUGCAGAUAAUGCACUGCACAGGUAGUAGGUGUGGUGCUCGUUGUGAUGUAGAAAUACCACUGGUGUGUGACCUUAGAGCCCGAGUUUUUGAUGGACCUUCCUCACCAUCCUCUAGCUCUGCCUCUACCUCUAUCCCUACACAUUAAACAGAAGACAACAGAUUUAGGUUGUGUAGCCUACUCUCAACAAUAGUGCAUUAAUUGACAGAUACUAGCUGUUGGAUCAAAUUGUGUGGGCAGUGCUUAUGGGAAACUAAAAUAGUGUUCCUCUUCAUUUUAACAUAAUCCACUGCAGAAUAAAUGUGCGUCCCUGUCAUAUUAACACAAAGGCUGCAGGCAGGUGUGAAUGUAGGUACUGUAUUUGUAGUCCUCCCUAUCAUUCAAAUUGAACACAAACUGGUUCCUUAAAAUGUCCCCUAAUAGACUUGCCACUAAUUGUCAUUUAUUUUCUCAUUUACAGGGCAAGUUGAAUUCAACAUUGAAGUUAACACUACAUUCAUUUUAAUGUUUCAUCUUUUGAUACCAACCUUU